rnacentral:rRNA from 1 species
UACGAGUGCCUCAAGCGUUAUCCGGAAUUACUGGGCGUAAAGGGUGCGUAGGUGGUUAUAUUAGUCUUCGGUCAAAUUUCUCCGCUUAACGGAGAAUCCGCCGGGGAAACGGUAUAACUAGAGGAUGUGAGAGGUGAGCGGAACUCAUGGUGUAGGGGUGAAAUCCGUUGAUGUCAUGGGGAACACCAAAAGCGAAGGCAGCUCACUGGCACACUCCUGACACUGAAGCACGAAAGCGUGGGUAGCGAAU